rnacentral:rRNA from 1 species
GAUGUUAGCGGCGGACGGGUGAGUAACACGUGGAUAACCUACCUAUAAGACUGGGAUAACUUCGGGAAACCCGGAGCUAAUACCGGAUAAUAUUUUGAACCGCAUGGUUCAAAAGUGAAAGACGGUCUUGCUGUCACUUAUAGAUGGAUCCGCGCUGCAUUAGCUAGUUGGUAAGGUAACGGCCUACCAAGGCAACGAUGCAUAGCCGACCUGAGAGGGUGAUCGGCCACACUGGAACUGAGACACGGUCCAGACUCCUACGGGAGGCAGCAGUAGGGAAUCUUCCGCAAUGGGCGAAAGCCUGACGGAGCAACGCCGCGUGAGUGAUGAAGGUCUUCGGAUCGUAAAACUCUGUUAUUAGGGAAGAACAUAUGUGUAAGUAACUGUGCACAUCUUGACGGUACCUAAUCAGAAAGCCACGGCUAACUACGUGCCAGCAGCCGCGGUAAUACGUAGGUGGCAAGCGUUAUCCGGAAUUAUUGGGCGUAAAGCGCGCGUAGGCGGUUUUUUAAGUCUGAUGUGAAAGCCCACGGCUCAACCGUGGAGGGUCAUUGGAAACUGGAAAACUUGAGUGCCAGAAGAGGAAAGUGGAAUUCCAUGUGUAGCGGUGAAAUGCGCAGAGAUAUGGAGGAACACCAGUGGCGAAGGCGACUUUCUGGUCUGUAACUGACGCUGAUGUGCGAAAGCGUGGGGAUCAAACAGGAUUAGAUACCCUGGUAGUCCACGCCGUAAACGAUGAGUGCUAAGUGUUAGGGGGUUUCCGCCCCUUAGUGCUGCAGCUAACGCAUU